rnacentral:rRNA from 1 species
GGAGUAUCGAUUACUGGGCGUAAGCGCACGCAUUGCGGUUUGUUAAGUCAGAUGUGAAAUCCCCGGCGCUCUCCUGGGAAUUGCAUCUGAUACUGGCUAGCUUGAGCCUCGUAAACGGGGGUAGAAUUCCUUGCGUAUCGGUUGAAAUGCGUAGAGAUCUGGAGUAAUACCGGUGGCGAAGGCGGCCCCCUGGACGAAGACUGACGCUCAGGUGCCAAGGCGCGGGGAGCAAACUGGCAUAUAUACCCUGGUAAUCCACGCCGUAGACGAUGUCGACUUGGAGGUUGUGCCCUUGAGGCGUGGCUACCGGAGCUAACGCGUUAAGUCUACCGCCUGGGGAGUACGGCCGCUUGGUUCAAAUUCUAAUGAUUUGUCGAGGGGUCCGCACAAGCGGUGAGACUUGUGGUUUAUUUCCAUGUUACGCGAAGAACCCUACCUGGUCCUGAUCAUUCAUGGAAAGUUUUUCCACACAUGAGAUUGUUGUCUUCGGGAAACCUGUGACACUGGAGCCUUGUAAUGCGCUGCUCGUCAUGUCCCUUGUCUCUGAUACAUGUUGGGGAAUAUUUUUCCCCGCAUGCUUAGUAGCAAUCCCCUUUAUUCCUAUCUGCUUGUUCUACUAGCCCCCGUGCCGGUCCAACUAUAUAUGGCAGAACUUGCUCCUGUUCAUUAUAUCCUGGCUCCGGAAAGGAUGUGGAUCAUGAAUCGUUUAAUGGGCUUCAUUCGAUCCUCUUUCCAUACUCUGCGGCUUUUCUCUCACCGUGUCUACUUCAUGUGUCUCUAUAGCUAUUUAUGUAAGUUCAACCCUCCUCUUAGCUACUCACACUAUGUUACCCUUCCUAAUAAGUGGCGCUCGUUAACUCCGUGAAGUCGACAUUUCUUGUCUUUUCUAACCUCCCCUGUCUUUUCG